rnacentral:rRNA from 1 species
CAUGCUAAGUCGUACGAGUUCAUACUCGUGGCGAAUAGCUCAGUAACACGUGGCCAAACUACCCUUCGGAGCACAAUACCCUCGGGAAACUGAGGCUAAUAGUGCAUACCACAAUCCACCUGGAAUGAGGAUUGUGCCAAACGCUCCGGCGCCGAAGGAUGUGGCUGCGGCCGAUUAGGUAGACGGUGGGGUAACGGCCCACCGUGCCAAUAAUCGGUACGGGUCAUGAGAGUGAGAACCCGGAGACGGAAUCUGAGACAAGAUUCCGGGCCCUACGGGGCGCAGCAGGCGCGAAACCUUUACACUGCACGCCAGUGCGAUAAGGGAAUCCCAAGUGCGCAGGCAUAGAGCCUGCGCUUUUGUUCACCGUAGGGAGGUGAACGAAUAAGGGCUGGGCAAGACCGGUGCCAGCCGCCGCGGUAAUACCGGCAGCCCGAGUGAUGGCCGAUCUUAUUGGGCCUAAAGCGUCCGUAGCUGGCCGCGCAAGUCUAUCGGAAAAUCCACCCGCCCAACGGGUGGGCGUCCGGUAGAAACUGCGUGGCUUGGGACCGGAAGGCGCGACGGGUACGUCCGGGGUAGGAGUGAAAUCCCGUAAUCCUGGACGGACCGCCGAUGGCGAAAGCACGUCGCGAGGACGGAUCCGACAGUGAGGGACGAAAGCCAGGGUCUCGAACCGGAUUAGAUACCCGGGUAGUCCUGGCCGUAAACAAUGUCUGUUAGGUGUGGCUCCCGCUACGAGCGGGUGCUGUGCCGUAGGGAAGCCGCUAAACAGACCGCCUGGGAAGUACGUCCGCAAGGAUGAAACUUAAAGGAAUUGGCGGGGGAGCACUACAACCGGAGGAGCCUGCGGUUUAAUUGGACUCAACGCCGGACAUCUCACCAGCAUCGACUGUAAUAAUGACGAUCAGGUUGAUGACCUUAUCCGAGUUUCAGAGAGGAGUGCAUGGCCGCCGUCAGCUCGUACCGUGAGGCGUCCUGUUAAGUCAGGCAACGAGCGAGACCCGCAUCCUUACUUGCCAGCAG